GGAGAAAAGCAGGGGAUCGUAAGACCUUGCGCUUUUGGAGCGGCCGAUGUCUGAUUAGCUAGUUGGUGGGGUAAUGGCCUACCAAAGCUUCGAUCAGUAGCUGGUCUGAGAGGACGGCCAGCCACACUGGGACUGAGACACGGCCCAGACUCCUACGGGAGGCAGCAGUGGGGAAUUUUGGACAAUGGGCGCAAGCCUGAUCCAGCCAUGCCGCGUGAGUGAAGAAGGCCUUCGGGUUGUAAAGCUCUUUCAGCCGGGAAGAAAAGGCUGCGAUUAAUAAUCGCAGUUCAUGACGGUACCGGAAGAAGAAGCACCGGCUAACUACGUGCCAGCAGCCGCGGUAAUACGUAGGGUGCGAGCGUUAAUCGGAAUUACUGGGCGUAAAGGGUGCGCAGGCGGUUUUGUAAGUCAGAUGUGAAAUCCCCGGGCUUAACCUGGGAAUUGCGUUUGAAACUACAAAGCUAGA
rnacentral:rRNA from 1 species